AGGGGAACAACAGCUGGAAACGGCUGCUAAUACCCCAUAGGCUGAGGAGCAAAAGGAGGAAUCCGCCCAAGGAGGGGCUCGCGUCUGAUUAGUUAGUUGGUGAGGCAAUGGCUUACCAAGGCGACGAUCAGUAGCUGGUCCGAGAGGAUGAUCAGCCACACUGGGACUGAGACACGGCCCAGACUCCUACGGGAGGCAGCAGUGGGGAAUUUU
rnacentral:rRNA from 1 species